GGACUCAUUGACUCAAUAUGGCCUAACAGAGGAUAUUUGGAAUACAAAUACCUUACAUAAUCACAGACUACAAAAUCCUCUCCAUCUGGAGUUAAGGGGAGUCCAGGGUUUGUAACCUGACACCAGGUAGUCUGGGGGCCACAUUUACCCACUUCAACAACUGGGGUGUGAGAGCCGCUCUCUCAUUGGUGCUUUCUGAAAGUCCUCCUCUCCACAAAAAUACCAUCCAUAAUGCUUCCACUCUUUGUAAAACAACCUUUUCAUUGUGGAAGAAAAUAAACACAAUAGGCCUAGAUAAUGAGAUAGCAAACAUAAAGACAAGCAAUAACAGGGUUGGUAAGCCCUGUGUUGUUAUGGCAGUAAACAUUUAGUCCAGUCUGUCUCUGCAUGUAGAAUGUACACCUGUUUCCACCUGUUUUACAGUCACUCUGACCUUUGUACCACUCCAAAAGAUAAGAACAAUUAUUCUAUCAGUUUGUAUUUUUCUCUUGCAAGUUAUGCCCUUUUUACAUUUUCUUUGUACUGUAAUGUGACAACAGAUUGUAACACAAAAUAAGAAAUGUUUGUGAAAAAGUGAUAUUUACUUUUAUGAAAAACUACUGCUGGGAUGCAAGUAUUUGCCAUUGUUGUGACUAAUUAUCAAUGUCAGAAGUUGUAGUCCCAUUAACAUAAAUCAAUACUAAAAAUCAAUACUCAUAUAAACCAGAUAGUUGGAGCAGAGCAGGGUGGAGCUUGUUCUGCUUGACUACCAUUGCUGCACACAUUGUUGAAGUGAAAGGAACGUGGACAGCUUGAUCCUGCUUGUGGGAUGCACUGACAGGGGGGACUAGUGUGAAUGGAACGGAGCUGAAAGAAAGUUUCACAGAGCGGCUCAGUGAAAGGCAUGUGCAGAAUGUGACUGACUGGGCACUAGAAAAGACUGAGCUGUAAGAUGAAAGGGAUCCCGAGGAACGGUUAGGAGGAUGGUUGUGGUGGAAGAUAAGAACUGAGGAGAAAUCAAGAGAAUGGUGUCAAAACAAAGUCCUUUGGAAAUGGUGGAUCUCAAACACAACUAAAGGAAACUGACAGAGACCACUGGUAUUCCUGUGAGGCACAGCAGAGCAGGAAUACUGGCCAGAGGACACCGGUUAAGCUCAGGUGGUGGGUGCCACAAAAUACAGGGGAGAGGAACGCUAUUGGUUCCCCACCGUGGAAGAACAGACACCACAUUGAUACCAUAGAGGUGGCAAGUUGCAUUUGUGCUGGAGACAGAUGGGUCGAUAAGGGUACGGUAGUGGUGAUAACACCUUUGGGCUGAGCUGCUGUGCCGAUGGGAGAAGGAGGAGGAAGGAAACCGAAGUGGGCCUGGAGCCCAAUGAGAGACAGGAUGGCUGAGCAGAAAGUUAGCCUCCCUGCUAAGCUGAUUAAUGGGGGCGUGACAGGGCUGGUGGGUGUGAGCUGUGUGUUUCGUAAUGAUCGGGCCAAGACCCGCCUACAGAACCAGCAGGGUGCCCGAGUCCACACCGGAAUGAGACUGAAAAUAUUUGUCAUGGGUCCCCUGAUCCUCAAAAGUUUCUACAGCUGCACC